rnacentral:rRNA from 1 species
UGAAUACGAGAUGCUACGGCGUCGAAGCAGUCUAUGUCAUACUUCCAAGAAAAGCUUGCACUGUCAUAAACAAAUAAUGCCUGUACCAUAACCGACACAGGUGGGUAGGUAGAGUAUACUAAGGGGCGCGAGAUAACUCUCUCUAAGGAACUCGGCAAAAUGACUCCGUAACUUCGGGAGAAGGAGUGCCUUAUUUAUAUAAGGUUGCAAUAACAAGAUCCAAGCAACUGUUUACCAAAAACACAGGUCUCCGCUAAGUCGUAAGACGAUGUAUGGGGGCUGACGCCUGCCCAGUGCCAGAAGGUUAAAGAAGUUGGUUAGCAUCCGCGAAGCUGAUAACUGAAGCCCUGGUGAACGGCGGCCGUAACAAUAACGGUCCUAAGGUAGCGAAAUUCCUUGUCGGGUAAGUUCCGACCCGCACGAAAGGCGUAAUGAUUUGGAUACUGUCUCGGAGAGGGGCUCGGUGAAAUAGACUUGUCUGUGAAGAUGCGGACUACCUGCACCUGGAUAGAAAGACCCUAUGAAGCUUUACUGUAACUUGAAAUUGAAAUUGGACUUUAUUUGCGCAGUAUAGGUGGGAGGCGUUGAAAAUAAUCUUGCGGGAUUAUUGGAGCCAUCAGUGAGAUACCACUCUUGUAAUGUUAGAUUUCUAACUUUGUAUCAUUAUCUGGUCAAAGAACAGUUUCAGGCGGGCAGUUUGACUGGGGCGGUCGCCUCCCAAACGGUAACGGAGGCGCACAAAGGUUUCCUCUGAACGGGUAGAAAUCGUAUCUAGAGUGUAAAGGCAUAAGGAAGCUUGACUGUGAGACCUACAAGUCGAGCAGGGACGAAAGUCGGUCUUAGUGAUCUGACGGUGCUGAGUGGAAAGGCCGUCACUCAACGGAUAAAAGUUACUCUAAGGAUAACAGGCUGAUCUCCCCCAAGAGUUCACAUCGACGGGGAGGUUUGGCACCUCGAUGUCGGCUCAUCGCAUCCUGGGGCGGUAGUACGUCCCAAGGGUUGGGCUGUUCGCCCAUGAAAGCGGUACGCGAGCUGGGUUCAGAACGUCGUGAGACAGUUCGGUCCAUAUCCGGUGUAGGCGUUAGAAUAUUGAGAGGAGCCUUCUCUAGUACGAGAGGACCGAGAAGGACAUACCUCUGGUGUACCAGUUAUCGUGCCAACGGUAAACGCUGGGUAGCUAUGUAUGGAGUGGAUAACCGCUGAAAGCAUCUAAGUGGGAAGCCCACCUCAAGAUAAGUAUUCGC